rnacentral:rRNA from 1 species
AGAGUUUGAUCCUGGCUCAGAUUGAACGCUGGCGGCAGGCCUAACACAUGCAAGUCGAGCGGAAACGAGUUAUCUGAACCUUCGGGGAACGAUAACGGCGUCGAGCGGCGGACGGGUGAGUAAUGCCUAGGAAAUUGCCCUGAUGUGGGGGAUAACCAUUGGAAACGAUGGCUAAUACCGCAUGAUGCCUACGGGCCAAAGAGGGGGACCUUCGGGCCUCUCGCGUCAGGAUAUGCCUAGGUGGGAUUAGCUAGUUGGUGAGGUAAGGGCUCACCAAGGCGACGAUCCCUAGCUGGUCUGAGAGGAUGAUCAGCCACACUGGAACUGAGACACGGUCCAGACUCCUACGGGAGGCAGCAGUGGGGAAUAUUGCACAAUGGGCGCAAGCCUGAUGCAGCCAUGCCGCGUGUGUGAAGAAGGCCUUCGGGUUGUAAAGCACUUUCAGUCGUGAGGAAGGUAGUGUAGUUAAUAGCUGCAUUAUUUGACGUUAGCGACAGAAGAAGCACCGGCUAACUCCGUGCCAGCAGCCGCGGUAAUACGGAGGGUGCGAGCGUUAAUCGGAAUUACUGGGCGUAAAGCGCAUGCAGGUGGUUUGUUAAGUCAGAUGUGAAAGCCCGGGGCUCAACCUCGGAAUAGCAUUUGAAACUGGCAGACUAGAGUACUGUAGAGGGGGGUAGAAU